UUUCAUUUGUGUUGCUGAAUUUCGAAGAGUGAUGGUGGGAGUGUGUGUGGCGGGGGCAGUAUCAACCUCAUCCUUCCCUUGACCGAGACCUUUCACUGCUCCUGGACUUUCAGGGUGUGCUAUCCUUUGCCUCCCCCCAACAACCUGUCUGCUGCCCUAAAAAAAAAAAAAAUUAAAAAAAAAAAGACGGCAACCUAACCGAAGCAUCUCUGGGACGCCACAGAAAUCGUAAUUGAACACCCGCACACAAAAGUAAUCUGUGAGGUGUGUUUUAAAGAAAGAAACAGCUGAAAACUUGAAGACGUGUUUAGAAAUAUACAUAUAUACACACUAUUUUCUUGUGGGAGAUCUCCUUUGGGCAAAGGUAUACAAAUGCUCUCAGUCCAGCCAGACACCAAGCCGAAAGGUUGUGCUGGCUGCAACCGAAAGAUCAAGGACCGGUAUCUUCUAAAGGCACUGGACAAAUACUGGCAUGAAGACUGCCUGAAGUGUGCCUGCUGUGACUGUCGCUUGGGAGAGGCUCUUUGGUGUAACGGGAAACUGCGCUGCCUG
rnacentral:sRNA from 1 species